UUCUUCCCCAAAUCAAUCCCUUGAACUUGUAAAUUCUAUUGACAUAAAGUUUUUGGUAUUUUGUUACUUAUUAGGUUACUACAAAUCCAUGGAACCUUGAAUGUGUACCGGGGGGAUCAUCAGGCGGCUCGGCGGCGGCUGUUUCCGCUAGGCAGUGUGUAGUAUCAUUGGGAAGUGAUACCGGUGGAAGUUUUGGGCAGUCGGCGCCGUUUUGUGGUGUUGUAGGGCUAAAGCGACGUAUGGCUGUGUGUCACGAUAUGGGCUGGUGGCUUAUGCGUCAUCACUGGAUGUUAUUGGUUACUUUGGGUCGUCGGUUGCUGAUGCCGGACUGCUUCUUCAAUCGAUUUGUGGUCAUGAUAAACUUGAUGCCACUAGUUGCAAACGGGAGGUUAAUGACUUCACAUCUCAGUUCAUUUCGAAAGAUUAUUUUGAAUCACAGCCGUUAAAAGGAUUGAGGGUUGGUGUGAUCUCUGAAGCACUUGGAGGUGGAGUUGAUCCAGAAGUUGUUUCAUCAAUUCGUGAGUGAUGAGGAUAUGUGCCGGAUCGGACUGAGCACCGCCUACCGCCGGACGCAUCGGACGGAUCAUACCGGAACGAUCGGCCAAGAGGAUCUUCCUUAACUAACUCGGGGCCCAAACCAUAACUACUUGACAGUGACUGGUUCGGUCAUAACUAAUUUGCCACGUCAGCACACCCAAAAGGUAUAAAUACCCCGCUUAGACUUCCCACAAAAAAAGGGGAUGGCUACUUUCUCUCUCUAAACUCUCAUUUCUCACUCCCUAACUUACUCCAUCUGUCCAAAUACUUAUUCUCACCCCCGAGCUUGGUCACAGAGAGGCCCCCCUCCCUGUGACGAGGCUGACAGUGUGCUUUCUUCUUGUGAUCUUUCAGGUCUUAGCACG